rnacentral:rRNA from 1 species
UCUACCUGCUCAGUGAUUAUUUAAAUAGCCGCGGUAUUUUAACUGUGCAAAGGUAGCAUAAUAAUUAGUCUUUUAAUUGAGGUCUGGAAUGAAUGGUUUGACGAGAAAUUUACUUUAUUUAUUUUAUUUUUUUUGAAUUUUAUUUUUUAGUUAAAAAUCUAAAAUUUUAAAGAGGGACGAUAAGACCCUAUAGAUCUUACACAUUUAAUUUAUUUUUUUUUUUUUGUUGUGGUUUUGAUAAUAAUUUGAUUUUUUUUGUUGGGGUGAUAGCUAAAAAAUUUAACUUUAGUUUAUUUAAACAUUUUAUUUUUGGUUAAUUUGAUCUAUAAUUUAUGAUUUCAAGAUAUAGAUACCUUAGGGAUAACAGCGUUAUGGAGUUGGAGAGUUCUUAUUGAUAGCUUCGUUUGCGACCUCGAUGUUGGAUUAAAAUUUUACUGUGGGGUAGGUUUUACAGUUUUAGGUU